GACGGAGGAUGCAAGUGUUAUCCGGAAUCACUGGGCGUAAAGCGUCUGUAGGUGGUUCAAUAAGUCAACUGUUAAAUCUUGAGGCUCAACUUCAAAAUCGCAGUCGAAACUAUUGGACUCGAGUAUAGUAGGGGUAAAGGGAAUUUCCAGUGGAGCGGUGAAAUGCGUAGAGAUUGGAAAGAACACCAACGGCGAAAGCACAUCUGCUGGGCCGACACUGACACUGAGAGACGAAAGCUAGGGGAGCAAAUGGG
rnacentral:rRNA from 1 species